rnacentral:tRNA from 1 species
GCGGACGUGUCGGAGCGGCCAAACGAGAUGGACUCAAGAUCCAUUGGCUUAGUGCCUACGCAGGUUCGAAUCCUGCCGUCCGCA